rnacentral:rRNA from 1 species
UAGGGAAUCUUCCACAAUGGACGAAAGUCUGAUGGAGCAACGCCGCGUGAGUGAAGAAGGUUCUCGGAUCGUAAAACUCUGUUGUGAGGGAAGAACAAGUACCGGAGUAACUGCCGGUACCUUGACGGUACCUCAUUAGAAAGCCACGGCUAACUACGUGCCAGCAGCCGCGGUAAUACGUAGGUGGCAAGCGUUGUCCGGAAUCAUUGGGCGUAAAGCGCGCGCAGGCGGUCCCUUAAGUCUGAUGUGAAAGCCCACGGCUCAACCGUGGAGGGUCAUUGGAAACUGGGGGACUUGAGUGCAGAAGAGGAAAGCGGAAUUCCAAGUGUAGCGGUGAAAUGCGUAGAGAUUUGGAGGAACACCAGUGGCGAAGGCGGCUUUCUGGUCUGUAACUGACGCUGAGGCGCGAAAGCGUGGGGAGCAAACAGGAUUAGAUACCCUGGUAGUCCACGGCCGUAAACGAUGAGUGCUAAGUGUUAGGGGGUUUCCCGCCCCCUUAGUGCUGCAGCUAACGCAUUAAGGCACUCCGCCUGGGGAGUACGGUCGCAAGACUGAAACUUAAAUGAAUUGACGGGGGUCAUAGCUGUUUCCUG